UCAGCAAUAAGUGUCAGAACAGGGAUCGAUAGAGGAUGAAGAAGAAUCUAGUUUUGAUUUGGAGUAAGGCGUUAGCAAGUAUGCUCCUAGGAUUAAAUUAAUACAAUAAAAUGAAGCUCCAAGCUAUCUAUGAAUAUGCAGGCGAAUAGGUAUGAACAACAUAUAAUUUGACUUUAAGUAAGAGAAAAAAAAUAUCUGCUUUGCAAUCCAAAGCUUAAAUUCCAAAUAAAUACACCAUUUUUUUUAUUGAAUUAAAUGCAAUCGAGUGCCCUUCAUGCUAAAUGUCCAUGGCACUUGGCGAGAGCAAUUCACGCAGCAAAUUGGUGCAUGAAGUGCGUCUGCUGCGGCUGCAAAAAGUGCAUUGGAACGCAAUUAAAACUGGGGCAAUUUCAACAAUUUAUGGACACGAACUUAAUGACAAUGCGGUGGUAAUUAUCCCGGGCGCUAAAUCACAGCUAGUUUCGUGUUAAAUUGUGUGCUGCCUUAAAUGCCACGCCCAAAUAAUUAGAUACAGCAGCAACAAGAAAUGAAUAAAUAAAAUAAAAAGAAGAACAUUUUUAGCUGCUACAUUUGGUGCUCAAUUCACACACACAGACACACACUUAUACACGCACCCUAAUAGCCACGCACACUCAGGCAAAGCCGUAGAUACACGCAUAGAGCACACAAUAGACAGCAGAGCGAAGCAGUGAAGGAAGCGCUGCUGGCGCUCGUGCACAUUCUGUACAGAUAAUGGUAGACCACACACGCAGAGGCACGCAGAAGGAAGCCGGGCCAACGAAACGACGACGGAGUCGACGCCACAAUCAGAGACAGCGGCAGCAACAGCGGCAGCGAAGCGUGUGGCGUUCUUGGCUGAGAGCAAAUUCUAAAAUAUUACGUAUACGCAACGUUGUUGCGUCUCUCUGCGGUUUUCAGCAAUAUUACGUAGCAACCACAGUGCGCCGCCAUCGUCGUCGUCAACGUCACAGACGACGGGCUACGACAAUGUCGAGUAGCAUGGCAACAUGUGACUUGCUCUUGGCUCGUGGUUACCAUUUUGUGGGCGUGGGCCUUUGCCUUGGAUAGUCGGAAAUAAAGCACCCAUGUGUCAGCGCUGACUCGCACUGAAUGGGCAGGCAACGUUCCAUGCUUUCCUUCCUUUUAGGCACGGCACGGCAUGGCACGGCGUAAAUCUUAAUCCUCACGCGCUUGGCUGGCAACGCUGGCGACACUAAACAACAACCACAACAACCACAACAACAACAACAACAACAUCAGGCGCAUUAAUAACUGGAGAUAAGGGAUCUUAGGCCUGAAAUGUAGCACUUCGAACGCAACUCCCCAUAGAGGUUGCUAGACUCUGCUUUUAAACUUAUGAAAUACAACACUAAUAGAGCACAUA